AGUGAACGCUGGCGGUAGGCCUAACACAUGCAAGUCGAACGGCAGCACAGUAAGAGCUUGCUCUUACGGGUGGCGAGUGGCGGACGGGUGAGGAAUACAUCGGAAUCUACUUUUUCGUGGGGGAUAACGUAGGGAAACUUACGCUAAUACCGCAUACGACCUACGGGUGAAAGCAGGGGAUCUUCGGACCUUGCGCGAUUGAAUGAGCCGAUGUCGGAUUAGCUAGUUGGCGGGGUAAAGGCCCACCAAGGCGACGAUCCGCAGCUGGUCUGAGAGGAUGAUCAGCGACACUGGAACUGAGACACGGUCCAGACUCCUACGGGAGGCCGCAGUGGGGAAUAUUGGACAGUGGGCGCAAGCCUGAUCCAGCCAUACCGCGUGGGUGAAGAAGGCCUUCGGGUUGUAAAGCCCUUUUGUUGGGAAAGAAAAGCAGCAGGUUAAUACCCCGCUGUUCUGACGGUACCCAAAGAAUAAGCACCGGCUAACUUCGUG
rnacentral:rRNA from 1 species